AUUGAACGCUGGCGGCAUGCCUUACACAUGCAAGUCGAACGGCAGCACGGGAGCAAUCCUGGUGGCGAGUGGCGAACGGGUGAGUAAUAUAUCGGAACGUGCCCAGUCGUGGGGGAUAACGUAGCGAAAGCUACGCUAAUACCGCAUACGAUCUAUGGAUGAAAGCGGGGGAUCGCAAGACCUCGCGCGAUUGGAGCGGCCGAUAUCAGAUUAGGUAGUUGGUGAGGUAAAGGCUCACCAAGCCGACGAUCUGUAGCUGGUCUGAGAGGACGACCAGCCACACUGGGACUGAGACACGGCCCAGACUCCUACCGGGAGGCAGCAGUGGGGAAUUUUUGGACAAUGGNGCAAGCCUGAUCCAGCAAUGCCGCGUGCAGGAUGAAGGCC
rnacentral:rRNA from 1 species